GCACCAUUCUGAUCAGGUGUCUUCAAAAAAAGUCUUCAUUCUUCAUGUAACACGUUUUGAUAUGCAAAUAGUCAUAACAAUGAAUUUGCAGAUAGGUCCAUGACGUCCUCUGGCGACAUUUAGUGACCUUUUUGAGGAUGCGUUAGCUACCCCGGAAAAAAAAAGCUGGCGACAGUCUUCUGAUCUCGGUUUCUGCAAGUGGAAACUCCUGGUUUCCCCGAACUGUGUGUUAACAGAACAGGGCUAGUAUGUAAAACCCGCUUUAGUAGUAAGGUGUGUAUUUUGUUACUCGUGUAAUAGAAGAAGCAGAAGCAGUCGCGCGCGUGAGCAGUAUAAAUCAGUAACCUGGCGGUUCUGCUGCAGUUUAAGGGGUUUUUAAGGCACUUUGCUGUUAUAAAAAGGCCACAGCUAACACAACAGUAACACAACAGUUUAGUGGGUGAUGUUCCAUUAUUAUAUGUAGCCUGUUUAUUACUUUAUCUAAUCAUUUAUCAUCGGUCACAAUAUUUUCAAGCGAAAGUCGAGGCUUAGGUUGGAUUAUGAAGAAAUUUACCUCAACUUAUACAUCGCACCGUAGAAGCUCUAGACGGCGGCAAAGUGCCGUUAAACCCAGUAACACCAAAAGCCAAAGGAUGUCCGGUCAGGGAUUCUUCGAGAAACUGCCAGCUGAGGUGUUUGAUUUAAUAUUAAAUCACCUGUCAGCUGUAGAAGCCAGUGUUUUCAGCAUGGUAUCAAAAAGCAUCAGUAACUGCAUCAUAAGGCAUCUGUCCACUUCGGCCUGGAGGAACCAGAUGAUUUUGCAGAAGUUUCACUGCACAUCACCCAAAGCUGAACACUUGAACACAAUACUUGAUCAUUUCAGAUCCCUUGGUUUACUGUUCAAGAGAUGCACUCUGUUACUACCAACCAAGGAAAGACUGAAGUUUAUUUAUAACACAUUUUCACAGAUCCCCUGCUUCAGGAUCGAGCAAUGUGAUGUGCUACCUUUGUGCCAAGGUUUUGCUUGCUAUGGAGUGUUCUUGCAGGCAAGUAGGCUGGGUUAUAGAUUAGAUUUUGCAGUUGGAAAGUGCCUGGAAAUGUUAAUUUGACUCAUUGAAAUGUUCACUGAAAGUUUUAGGCAGCGUCUGAGAGGAAACAACAAACAGUUAACUGUAACAAAACAGACAGUAAUAUACACCGUGGGCAUGCUGCAGAAAUAGGUUAUCCCCACAAGGCCAAUCUUUAUUGGCUUUAGUAAAUUCGUCACAUUCGUAAUUUAAUUAAGCAGGCCGCUAGCCCUGACAUACAUUUGUAGUGAAAGUAAUGCUUCAGAGUGAUGUACAGUAUAUGUGCAGUUUGAGAGAAGAACCAGGGUUUAUUUAAAUAACUACUUUAACAGGUAUUUAUUAUGAAUGGCAGUUAUAAAUGUAAGACGAAUUACAUUAUUGCUUAGCCUUCAUCAGAAACAGUAAUUUUUUUUAGAUACUUUAACAAAAUUGCUGGACUUGUGCACUUGUGGACUUGUGCAAAAUUACUGUAUUUGUAAUCAAAAACAUGCAAAUUGAGGGUACAUAUAUAUUUAUAUGUACCCUCAACUUGCAUGUCUUUGAUGACAAAUGUGAGAGAUAUCUUUGAGUACAUGGGUGGAAUUUCAGAUUUGAGACAUACAAAAUGGGUUUCUAGGAAUUUGGAGGAGAUUAUUACAAAAUGUCUGAACAUAUUAAAUUUUGUGUUUACAUAUAUUCUUUCUCUUUUUCAAUAAAUUAAACUGAUGAACCCAUGCAUCUUCAAGGUUAAAGAUUAGCCUGCCUUAAUUUGAUCCACACCUGCUUUUUGAACAUCCCAUUUCAUAUUUACUGUUAUAAUAAUCUCCACUCUUCUGGGAAGGUUUUUCACUAGAUUUUGGAGCAUGGCUGUGGGGAUUUGCCCAUUCAGCAACAAGAGCAUUAGUGAGGUAGGCUCUUGUGGCACUGAUGUCUGGAUGAGGAGGUCUGGGGUGCAGUGUUCCAGUUCAUCCCAAAGGUGUUCAGUGGGGUUGAGGUCAGGGCUCUGUGCAGGACACUCGAGUUCUUCCACUCCAACCUUAACACACCAUGUCUUCAUGGAGCUCACUUUGUGCACAGGGGCAUUGUCAUGCUGGAACAGGUUUUAGUUCCAGUGAAGGGAAAUUGCAAUGCUACAGCAUACAAAGACAUUCUGUACAAUUGUGUGCCUCCAACUUUGUGGCAACAGUUUGGGAAAGAACCACAUACGCAUGUGAUGGUCAGGUGUCCACAUACAUUUGACCAUUUAGUGUAUGUAAAAUAAAUAAGUAAAAAUAGAUCCCUGUACAAGGUAUGGUAGCAUGGUAACUUGUUUAUAAGGAGAGUGUGUUAGUACAGUGGUCACAGAGAAUAAAUGUUUUGCAUUAAGGAAGGGAAUUUCAUAUUUUCUGUUCUGUUCUUGUGACAGUAUUCCAUCACAUUUGUUUUACAUCUUAUUGAAACCCCUUAUAGACCCUGAUAGCUGGUUGGGAUGAGCUGGAAUGUCAGCGUGUAUUUAACUUUUUGUGUAAAACCACACAUCUUCAGUGGAAAAUAGAGGCAGCUGUUGCAAGCAAGCCAGAGGUGUCAUGUUUGAUCAGUGGAAAAACAGAAGGGAUGCUCAUUUCUGGCUUACAUGCAUCCUCAGACCCUGGCCAAUCAUCAGCCAAGCUCGUCUACUCUUUAUCCUCUUUGGCCCACUGCAGUCAGAUGGUAACAUUUCAACAUCUUUCAGUUUUGACUGUGCCAUAGCCAAAAAAUGCUCAGUGUGUAGUUUCAUGCUUCCUCUGGAACAUUACUGUAAAACACCAAGAACACCUGAUGGAAAAUAUAUCUUAUUUGCAGAUACAAAUAGCCACUUGAAAAAAAUGAAAUGUAUUAUUCUUCAGAAUGCUGGAUUAUAGCAAUCAAUAGCUAUGGUAAUACUCGAACACCUAGAUAAUAAACUGCCUGUCAAGCAUUACACUUUAGUCCAUUUUGUAUUAUUGAGUGACACUCUCUGCUCAGCAUAUUAAAUAACAUGCUCUGUAAGUUUAGCUGUAACUCAGAAUUCACUUCGGAUUGCAUCAAGCAUCACGUCAAGACCUCAGUCAGUCAACACUGGAUAUGUCUCAGCUUUAUUUCUUGACAGGGUACUGGCAGGAGAAAGAGCAACACUCUGGAUUUAACUGUACACCCAGUCUUUAAUGAUGCCCAUUUCAGAUCAGUAUCCUAUAUGGGUUUUUAUGGAGAGGACUUAAGUGACUUAAGAUGAGGGGGGAGUUGCCAUGCCAUGCUUAGGCGCUCAUACCGGUGUCGCCUCUUGAGAGCAUGUUAGUUCAGUGGACAUAUCAUGGUGUAAUAACUUAAUACAGUCAUGGGAAAAAGAAAGUACACCCUCCUUUAAUUCUUUACAACAGAUGUUCAGUGAUGUUUGAGGGCAUUUGUUUAUGCACAGCUCUCUUAAGAUCCCACCAAUCAUCAAUCAGCUUGGCCAGUCAUCACUUUGAUUUUUUUCUUCUUCAGCCAUUCAGAUGUUGAUUUGCUGCUGUAGUUGGGAUCAUUGUCCUGUAG